AUUGAACGCUGGCGGCAGGCCUAACACAUGCAAGUCGAGCGGAUGAAGGGAGCUUGCUCCUGGAUUCAGCGGCGGACGGGUGAGUAAUGCCUAGGAAUCUGCCUGGUAGUGGGGGAUAACGUCCGAAAACGGGCGCUAAUACCGCAUACGUCCUGAGGGAGAAAGUGGGGGAUCUUCGGACCUCACGCUAUCAGAUGAGCCUAGGUCGGAUUAGCUAGUUGGUGGGGUAAAGGCCUACCAAGGCGACGAUCCGUAACUGGUCUGAGAGGAUGAUCAGUCACACUGGAACUGAGACACGGUCCAGACGCCUGCGGGAGGCAGCAGUGGGGAAUAUUGGACAAUGGGCGGAAGCCUGGUCCAGCCAUGCCGCGUGUGUGAAGAAGGUCUUCGGAUUGUAAAGCACUUUAAGUUGGGAGGAAGGGCAGUAAGUUAAUACCUUGCUGUUUUGACGUUACCAACAGAAUAAGCACCGGCUAACUUCGUG
rnacentral:rRNA from 1 species